rnacentral:rRNA from 1 species
AAAUGCCUACGGGGGGCAGCAGUGGGGAAUAUUGCACAAUGGGGGAAACCCUGAUGCAGCGACGCCGCGUGAAGGAAGAAGUAUCUCGGUAUGUAAACUUCUAUCAGCAGGGAAGAAAAUGACGGUACCUGACUAAGAAGCUCCGGCUACAUACGUGCCAGCAGCCGCGGUAAUACGUAUGGCGCAAGCGUUAUCCGGAUUUACUGGGUGUAAAGGGAGCGCAGGCGGCAUGGCAAGUCAGAUGUGCAAGACCGGGGCUCAAC